rnacentral:tRNA from 1 species
UCGACGAUAUUAUAAGGUGGUAGUACAUAAAGUGUUGGGCUUUAGUGUAUAGGUUAGUAACCUAUUCAUCUA